GGAUUAGACGGACUGAAGGCUCUUUCUCGAUUCCGUGGAAAGUGGUGCAUGGCCGUUUUUGGUUGGUGGAUCGAUCCGUCUGGUUAAUUCCGUUAACGAACGAGACCUCGGCACUCCGAAUAGCGCGGCGGACGUCGCGGCCUCCGGGCCGUCUUCCGCACGAGCUUCUUAGAGGGACCGUCCCCCGCCGGGGAAGGAGGUGCGAGGCAACGACAGGUCUGUGAUGCCCUUAGAUGUUCUGGGCCGCACGCGCAUUACACUGACGCGUCCAACGGGUGACUCCCGACCCGAAGGGGCCGGGGAAUCCGCAAGGCGCGUCGUGAUGGGGAUUGAACGUUGCAAUUGUUGUUCACGAACGAGGAAUUCCUAGUAGGCGCGGGUCAUCAACCCGCGCCGAUUACGU
rnacentral:rRNA from 1 species